rnacentral:tRNA from 1 species
GUUUCCGUAGUGUAGUGGUUAUCACGUUAGCCUAAUACGCGAAAGGUCCCCGGUUCGAGACCGGGCGGAAAAG